rnacentral:lncRNA from 1 species
GGGUUUCGGUGUUGUGCUACAGACUGUCAAGUGAGUUAACGGGUCUGAUCCUGUCUUGAACAUGAUAGGGGCAUCAUUUGGAUUUGUGUAUAGAGUUUCUUAUGUCCGAAGUAAACGAAGAGAAAACAUUUGGAGACUUUAGAGAAAUGGGACUAAGGUUGGCGCAUGAGGUCAUUUCUUUGUUAAAAGCCGUGUUUCCAUUUCAAUGUUUAAGGCAUAGAUUUAUUUGUUUCUGAAUGUUUAAUAAGAAUGGAAAAAUAUUUUAAAUGAAAGUGUACUAGUGAAGUAGAAAUACAAAUCAAUAUAAAAAAAAGGGUUAAAAAAGUUAAGUUUAACCUUUAAAACCUUCCAGCUUAUCUAAAUUUCAGAGCGAGAUUACAAAUUAUCAUCCAAAUGAUAGAAAUAAUAUAAGAAUGGCUUGUUUGCAGAAGGUACCUUGUUAACCUCGCAAUCACAACUUUCACCAAAAAAAUUGAGGGAUUAUUGGAUGGGAAAUUUCCAACUUCUUACUAAAGGCUAUGUAAUAGUCUUAUAUCUAACCAUAUUAUACAUUGUUUUAUCAAGAAGUAUGUACAUUAGUUUAUAUGACUUUUAUAAAUGGAGGGCCUAGGCUCUCAAAAUGUUAAGACUUUUCAAUAUAGCACUCUUCGGCAAGCAAAUUUGGUGCGUCUUGCACCAAAAGUAUACCUUGUGCUUUAGAGUGUUGUCAACCGAAUACUUUCCAUCAAGUGACAUUUUUCUUUGCAAAUAUAUAUAUAUAUAUAUUUUUUGUUUGGAAAGGGAUUUAUGACUACACUUGAUGGGAAGGAUCUUGUGCAUAGUGAUAUUCGUUCCCUUCAUUCCAUGGUCUCAAAUCUAUUAGUAGAGGAUAGGCCUAGAUGGAAUGAGGAUCAUAUUUGGCUAUUCUUUUAUGCGAUAAAACUCACGGUGACAUCUUGGUUUGGGAGCAUGCCUCUACAGGUGUUUAUUCAACAAGAUUUGAUUAUAAUUGGCUAUUUCUUAACUCGAUGAGGUUUAGCCCUAGGAAAGUUACAAAAAAAAUCUCUAAGAUAAAAUUAUUCGGUUGGAGGUUGAGCCAUAAAAUUCUUAUUGGCCAAUGACCUUUAGCGCAAGAGAUGUGAUUUGAUAGAGUACUUAGUGCAUGUUGUCCGUGAUUGUCCUUUUCUCAAAAAGGUAUUAAUUUUGAGUGGUAUUGAUGACAACUUAUUAAGUGCUGUUUUUUUUUUUUUUGCAGGGUGAAUUCACUAGAGUUUGCAAUGAGGAAAUUUGAUGAGGAUGCCCUUACUAGCCUUUUGGUGGGUCUUUGAUAGUUAUAGGAGGCAAGAAAGUUGGAGAGUGUGCAAGCAAAUACUACGAUUUCUCGGGAUGCUUUCAUUUGCGCUCAAGCGCUCCAUAAGGACUUCAGGUUCAUUAUUGUCUUUGUACUCCAUUGGUACCUAAGUGAUUGAAGAUCGAGAGACGGGGGGCUCCACAUGGUGAACACCUUAUGAUCAAUGUUGACACGACUUAGAUGGCUAGGGAGCAUGCAAUGUCCUAUGAUGUGGUGAUUCGUAUCAUUAUUAAACUGUUUAGUUACUAUUAACAGACUUAAUAGCAAUAGUUUGGAUUUAUCAAUUUAUAGCCCAUUGGUUUAGCCCAUUAGUCCUGUAGAGCCUUUGCAU